AUAUCAUGAAGGUGUGUUUGUCAAGGUAGGAGGAGAGAACAUAUUAAAUUUAACAGUUUGUGAGUUUGAUUUACAACUUCCAAAUAUUUGGACAUAUGGAAGCCAGACUGCACUGGACUCUUCUUGGACUCCCACGUAUUAAAUGUAACCCUACCUUCAAAUGCAAACAUCUUGGCCUGGCUCCCAGGACAUGGUUUAAGACAAGCCCCCAGCCAGUGCUACUCCCUUGAUCAAGCAGAACCGUUAAGUCCUGCGCUCCAGAAUGAAAGACAUCUCUGAGCUGCCUCCACUCACUGUCUGAGAAGUUGAGGUCUUCUCUCCGGCCCACCCACUCUGGUGGACUCAGUUGGAGCUCCGUCAGCUUGCGAAUGCUUCUCUUUCUACAGUCCUGCACAGGGCAUUGGUCUCUCGUGUUCUGACCUGGUCCCUGGCCUCCCAAGCUUGCUUUCCAAGGAAUCUCAGCAGACCACAAAAAGAAUCACCCUAUUCACUCUUCUGUAAUCCAGCAUUUUAAUUAAUUAAAAGACAUUAAAUAUC